rnacentral:SRP_RNA from 1 species
CAAGCUCAGAGUUGGAUCACGUGGCCCAAUUGAAGAAUUGGGCUGCUUGAUUCUUAAAGUGGGGUGGACCGCGUGAGGCUGGUUUCACAGAGCAACGAACAGCUCCCGCUCUGUGCAGUG